ACGGGUGAGUAAUACAUCGGAACGUGCCCUGUAGUGGGGGAUAACUAGUCGAAAGAUUAGCUAAUACCGCAUACGACCUGAGGGUGAAAGUGGGGGACCGCAAGGCCUCAUGCUAUAGGAGCGGCCGAUGUCUGAUUAGCUAGUUGGUGAGGUAAAGGCUCACCAAGGCGACGAUCAGUAGCUGGUCUGAGAGGACGAUCAGCCACACUGGGACUGAGACACGGCCCAGACUCCUACGGGAGGCAGCAGUGGGGAAUUUUGGACAAUGGGGGCAACCCUGAUCCAGCAAUGCCGCGUGUGUGAAGAAGGCCUUCGGGUUGUAAAGCACUUUUGUCCGGAAAGAAAUCGCACUUACUAAUAUUAGGUGUGGAUGACGGUACCGGAAGAAUAAGGACCGGCUAACUACGUGCCAGCAGCCGCGGUAAUACGUAGGGUCCAAGCGUUAAUCGGAAUUACUGGGCGUAAAGCGUGCGCAGGCGGUUGUGCAAGACCGAUGUGAAAUCCCCGGGCUUAACCUGGGAAUUGCAUUGGUGACUGCACGGCUAGAGUGUGUCAGAGGGGGGUAGAAUU
rnacentral:rRNA from 1 species